UACGUAGGGGGCAAGCGUUGUCCGGAAUCAUUGGGCGUAAAGCGCGCGUAGGCGGCCCUGUAAGUCCGUUGUGAAAGUCGAAGGCUCAACCUUCGAAAGCCGAUGGAUACUGCGGGGCUAGAGUCCGGAAGAGGCGAGUGGAAUUCCUGGUGUAGCGGUGGAAUGCGCAGAUAUCAGGAGGAACACCAAUAGCGAAGGCAGCUCGCUGGGACGGUACUGACGCUAAGGCGCGAAAGCGUGGGGAGCGAACAGG
rnacentral:rRNA from 1 species